AGAGUCAUACGUUGAAGGGUUAGCGGCCCACGACGGCCCCGAGUCAUGCGUUGGCGUCCGCAAGGGCGUCCGCGAAGCGUUGACAGGGGUACGCACAGGCCGGGUAUUCAGCCGCGAAAGACAUCUUCCUCCGGGGUGCCGACGCUGUAAGGAGAUGCGGAAGGCAACAUCCGGCGUGCCGCUAUCGCGAGGCACGACGGGCCCCCGCGCGGUCGGAGACCC
rfam:Planctomycetes bacterium SM23_25 WORSMTZ_41041, whole genome shotgun sequence.